UACGAAGGGGGCUAGCGUUGCUCGGAAUCACUGGGCGUAAAGCGCACGUAGGCGGAUUGUUAAGUCAGGGGUGAAAUCCUGGAGCUCAACUCCAGAACUGCCUUUGAUACUGGCGAUCUUGAGUCCGGGAGAGGUGAGUGGAACUCCGAGUGUAGAGGUGAAAUUCGUAGAUAUUCGGAAGAACACCAGUGGCGAAGGCGGCUCACUGGCCCGGUACUGACGCUGAGGCACGAAAGCGUGGGGAGCAAACAGG
rnacentral:rRNA from 1 species